rnacentral:rRNA from 1 species
GACAGAGGAUGCAAGCGUUAUCCGGAAUGAUUGGGCGUAAAGCGUCUGUAGGUGGCUUUUUAAGUCUGCCGUCAAAUCCCAGGGCUUAACCCUGGACAGGCGGUGGAAACUACCAGCUGGAGUACGGUAGAGGGGAGUGGAAUUCCGGCGUGUAGCAGUGAAAUGACGUAGAUAUGCGGAGGAACACCGAUGGCGAAGGCAAUCCCCUGGACCUGUACUGACGCUCAUGCACGAAAGCGUGGGGAGCAAACAGG